rnacentral:rRNA from 1 species
UACGUAGGUGGCAAGCGUUGUCCGGAAUUAUUGGGCGUAAAGCGCGCGCAGGCGGUCCUUUAAGUCUGAUGUGAAAGCCCACGGCUCAACCGUGGAGGGUCAUUGGAAACUGGGGGACUUGAGUGCAGAAGAGGAAAGCGGAAUUCCACGUGUAGCGGUGAAAUGCGUAGAGAUCCGGAGGAACACCGACGGCGUAGGCAGCGCCCUGGACGACACCUGACGCUGAGGCACGAAAGCUGGGGGAGCGAACAGG